UACGUAGGGGGCAAGCGUUGUCCGGAUUCAUUGGGCGUAAAGAGCGUGUAGGCGGCCAGGUAGGUCGGUUGUGAAAACUGGAGGCUCAACCUUCAGACGUCGACCGAAACCAUCUGGCUAGAGUCCGGGAGAGGAGAGUGGAAGUUCCUGGUGUAGCGGUGAAAUGCGCAGAUAUCAGGAAGAACACCCGUGGCGAAAGCGGCUCUCUGGAACGGUACUGACGCUGAGACGCGAAAGCGUGGGGAGCGAACAGG
rnacentral:rRNA from 1 species